AUUGAACGCUGGCGGCAGGCUUAACACAUGCAAGUCGAGCGGAGAUGAGGUGCUUGCACCUUAUCUUAGCGGCGGACGGGUGAGUAAUGCUUAGGAAUCUGCCUAUUAGUGGGGGACAACAUUCCGAAAGGAAUGCUAAUACCGCAUACGUCCUACGGGAGAAAGCAGGGGAUCUUCGGACCUUGCGCUAAUAGACGAGACUAAGUCGGAUUAGCUAGUGGGUGGGGUAAAGGCCUACCAAGGCGACGAUCUGUAGCGGGUCUGAGAGGAUGAUCCGCCACACUGGGACUGAGACACGGCCCAGACUCCUACGGGAGGCAGCAGUGGGGAAUAUUGGACAAUGGGGGGAACCCUGAUCCAGCCAUGCCGCGUGUGUGAAGAAGGCCUUAUGGUUGUAAAGCACUUUAAGCGAGGAGGAGGCUACUGAGACUAAUACUCUUGGAUAGUGGACGUUACUCGCAGAAUAAGCACCGGCUAACUCUGUGCCAGCCGCCGCGGUAAGAC
rnacentral:rRNA from 1 species